rnacentral:rRNA from 1 species
UAAAGAGCCGCGGUAUUUUGACCGUGCAAAGGUAGCAUAAUCAUUAGUCUCUUAAUUAGAGGCUGGAAUGAAUGGUUUGACGAGAAAUUAACUGUCUCUUAAUAAGUUUUAAAAUUUAACUUUUGAGUCAAAAGGCUUAAAUUUUUCUUUAGGACGAGAAGACCCUAUAGAGCUUGACAUUUUAAUUUUAUAUUUUUUAAAGAUAGUCUUUUUGUAUUUAAUGAUAAUGUUUUGUUGGGGUGACAUGAAGAAUAGAAAAACUCUUUAUUAUAAAGUCAUUAAUUUAUGUUUAUUUUGAUCCAUAAUUUAUGAUCAUAAGAUUAAGUUACCUUAGGGAUAACAGCGUAAUUGUUUUUGAGAGCUCAUAUUGACAAAGCAGAUUGCGACCUCGAUGUUGGAUUAAGAAAAAUUCUGGGUGUAGUA